rnacentral:tRNA from 1 species
GGUUUUGGCUCAGUGGCAAAGUGCCUGCCUUGCAAGUGUGAGGCACUGGGUUCAAUCCUCAGCACCA